rnacentral:rRNA from 1 species
AUGCAAGUCGAGGGGCAGCACGAAAGCGUAGCAAUACAAUUUUGGUGGCGACCGGCGCACGGGUGAGUAACGCGUAUGCAACCUACCUACUACUUUGGGAUAGCUCGUUGAAAGACGAAUUAAUACCUUAUAAAACAGGGGCUCCGCAUGGAGAUAUUUGUUAAAGAUUUAUCGGUAGUAGAUGGGCAUGCGUUCCAUUAGUUAGUUGGUGAGGUAACGGCUCACCAAGACAACGAUGGAUAGGGGAACUGAGAGGUUUGUCCCCCACACUGGAACUGAGACACGGUCCAGACUCCUACGGGAGGCAGCAGUGAGGAAUAUUGGUCAAUGGAGGCAACUCUGAACCAGCCAAGUCGCGUGAAGGAUGACUGCCCUACGGGUUGUAAACUUCUUUUUUAAGGGAAUAAAGUGAGCCACGUGUGGCUUUUUGCAUGUACCUUACGAAUAAGGAUCGGCUAACUCCGUGCCAGCAGCCGCGGUAAUACGGAGGAUCCGAGCGUUAUCCGGAUUUAUUGGGUUUAAAGGGUGCGCAGGCGGAAUAUUAAGUCGGCGGUGAAAGUUUGCAGCUUAACUGUAAAAUUGCCGUUGAAACUGGUUUUCUUGAGUGUAUAUGAAGUAGGCGGAAUUUGUAGUGUAGCGGUGAAAUGCAUAGAUAUUACAAGGAACUCCGAUUGCGAAGGCAGCUUACUAAAAUACAACUGACGCUCAGGCACGAAGGCGUGGGUAUCAAACAGGAUUAGAUACCCUGGUAGUCCACGCAGUAAACUAUGAUUACUCGCUGUUUGCGAUACACAGUAAGCGGCUUAGCGAAAGCGUUAAG